UCGAGAGAGAAUAUUUAAUUCCACCCAGGGUCUUCCUAAUGCUGUUUGAGUGAUGCAAAGUAGAGAAGUUACUGUUGAAGGUAUUAAAUCAUUCUCUGCUUGG
rnacentral:pre_miRNA from 1 species